rnacentral:rRNA from 1 species
GUCAUAUGCUUGUCUCAAAGAUUAAGCCAUGCAUGUCUAAGUACACACUCUAGCAAAGUGAAACCGCGAAUGGCUCAUUAAAUCAGUUAUGGUUUAUUAGAUCGUGCAAUCCUAAUUGGAUACCUGUGGUAAUUCUAGAGCUAAUACAUGCAACUGGCCCUAACUUUACGGAAGGGCGCUUUUAUUAGAUCAAAAUCAAUCAGGAGCAAUCCUGUUUUUGUGAUGACUCUGGAUAACUUUGUGCCGACCGCAUGGCCUUGCGCCGGCGGCGUAUCUUUCAAAUGUCUGCCCUAUCAACUUUCGAUGGUACGUGACAUGCCUACCAUGGUUGUAACGGGUAACGGAGAAUCAGGGUUCGUUCC